rnacentral:rRNA from 1 species
UAAUGUAUGGGGAUCUGCCCGAUAGAGGGGAAUAACUACUGGAAACGGUGGCUAAUACCGCAUAAUGUCUACGGACCAAAGCAGGGGCUCUUCGGACCUUGCACUAUCGGAUGAACCCAUAUGGGAUUAGCUAGUAGGUGGGGUAAAGGCUCACCAGGCGACGAUCUCUAGCUGGUCUGAGAGGAUGAUCAGCCACACUGGGACUGAGACACGGCCCAG